UCCGAAGGGGGCUACCGUUGUUCGGAUUUACUGGGCGUAAAGCGCGUGUAGGCGGGUCGUUAAGUUGGGGGUGAAAUCCCGAGGCUCAACCUCGGAACUGCCUUCAAAACUGGCGACCUGGACUCAAGCAGAGGCAAGUGGAAUUGCGAGUGUAGAGGUGAAAUUCGUAGAUAUUCGCAGGAACACCAGUGGCGAAGGCGACUUGCUGGGCUUGUAGUGACGCUGAGACGCGAAAGCGUGGGGAGAAAACAGG
rnacentral:rRNA from 1 species